UACGUAGGUGGCAAGCGUUGUCCGGAAUUAUUGGGCGUAAAGCGCGCGCAGGCGGUCCUUUAAGUCUGAUGUGAAAGCCCACGGCUCAACCGUGGAGGGUCAUUGGAAACUGGGGGACUUGAGUGCAGGAGAGAAGAGUGGAAUUCCACGUGUAGCGGUGAAAUGCGUAGAGAUGUGGAGGAACACCAGUGGCGAAGGCGGCUCUCUGGACCGGUUCUGACGCUGAGGUGCGAAAGCGUGGGGAGCAAACAGG
rnacentral:rRNA from 1 species